GCCUGAGAAACGGCUACCACAUCCAAGGAAGGCAGCAGGCACGCAAAUUACCCACUCCCGGCACGGGGAGGUAGUGACAAAAAAUAACGAUGCGGGACUCUUUUGAGGCCCCGUAAUCGGAAUGAGUACACUUUAAAUCCUUUAACGAUAAUCAAUUAGAGGGCAAGUCUGGUGCCAGCAGCCGCGGUAAUUCCAGCUCUAAUAGCGUAUAUUAAAGUUGUUGCGGUUAAAAAGCUCGUAGUUGGUUCUGCGUGCCACGCUGUCGGUUCGCCGCCUGACGGUGUAACUGGCAUGUCGUGGCAUGUCCUGUCGGUGGCGAACUAGGGCCACACUCGUUUCCCCACCUUGGGCACGUCUCUUGUGUGUGGAGCGGUGUGGUCACUCGGUUCGCCGGCUCUAUCCUGCCGCGGUGCUUUUAACCAAGUGUCGAGGUAGGCCGACACGUUUACUUUGAACAAAUUAGAGUGCUCAAAGCAGGCUUAAAUCUCUGCCUGAAUAGUGGUGCAUGGAAUAAUGGAACAGGACCUUGGUUCUAUUCUGUUGGUCUCCGGAACACAAGGUAAUGAUCAAUGUGGACAGGCGGGGGCAUUCGUAUUGCGACGUUAGAGGUGAAAUUUCUUGGAUCGUCGCAAGACGCACUAGA
rnacentral:rRNA from 1 species